GUCGCGGCGGUUUGUUGACAUGUCUGUAUUUGUUAAGGAGAGAGAAGAGCAACAACAGAAAAGCGUCUGCGGUCGUGCUGGACCCGUGACGAACGAUUGAACGCGGCGGAGAAUGUGAAGCACGAUGGCCGAUUUCCAGACCUACCGGGAGUACCAGAGACUGGAGGAUUACGAGGAGGACUCGCCUCCGGGAGAGGAGGACCUGCUCAUUCACGUACCGGAGGGACUCAAAGAUUCCUGGCAUCACAUCAAGAACCUGGACAAUUUCUUCACGAGAAUCUAUCAUUUCCAUCAGAGGAACGGGUUCGCCUGUAUGAUGCUCGCCGAGUUCUUCGAGCUCGUGCAGUUCCUGUUUGUGGUGACGUUCACGACCUUCCUGUUCAACUGCGUGGAGUACGACGUGCUGUUCGCCGACCGGGCCGUGAACCACACCGGGCCGGGCGUGAACCCGCUGGACAGGACCAAGGUGACGCUUCCGGAUGCCGUCCUGCCGCCUGAGCGGUGUGCCGAGAGGAUUCGAGACAACAGCUGGAUCAUCUUUCUCCUCGUCAUGGCGGCCAUCUUUUGGGUCUACCGGCUCGGGAAGGUGAUCUGCAACCUGCUGGGUUACUGGGAGAUCCGGCAGUUUUAUAGAAAAGCCCUGAAGAUCAGCAUGGUGAGUACAGGUGUUCUAUUACAUGCACGUUCCACGACGGUUUUUAAGCUCUCCGUCGUUCCUCAGGACGAGCUGCGUGACUUCAGCUGGCAGGAAGUGCAGGCGCGUCUGAUCAGGCUGCAGCGCGAGCAGCAGAUGUGCGUGCACAAGAAAGAGCUGACCGAGCUGGACAUCUACCACCGCAUCCUACGCUUCAAGAACUACACGGUCGCCAUGAUCAACAAGUCGCUGCUGCCCGUGCACCUGCGCGUGCCCUUCCUCGGCGACGCGGUCUUCCUGACCCAGGGCCUCAAGUACAACUUUGAGCUGAUCCUGUUCUGGGGGCCGGGCUCGCCGUUUCAGAACAAAUGGAGCCUGCAUCCGAAGUACAAGCGAGCGAGCGAGCGCCUGGAGCUGGCGCGGCAGCUGAGCCGCACCAUCCUGCUCACGGGCGUGGCCAACCUGCUGCUGUGUCCGCUCGUGCUGGUGUGGCAGACGCUGUACGCCUUCUUCAGCUAUGCCGAGGCCAUCAAGCGCGAGCCGGGCAGUCUCGGGACGCGCCGCUGGUCGCUCUACGGACGUCUCUACCUGCGCCAUUUCAACGAGCUGGACCACGAGCUGCGCGAGCGCCUCGGCCGUGCCUACCGUCCCGCCGCCAAAUACAUGAACGCCUUCAACUCGCCGCUGCUCGCCGUGCUGGCCCGGAGCGCCGCCUUCUUUGCCGGCUCGCUCUUGGCCGUCCUCGUCGCGCUGACUGUCUACGACGAAGACGUCCUUGCCGUGCAGCACGUCCUCACUGCGGGGACCGCUCUCGGAGUCAUCAUCACCGUCGCCAGGUCCUUCAUCCCAGACGAGCAUACGGUGUGGUGCCCCGAGCAGCUGCUACAGUGUGUGUUAGCACACAUCCACUACAUGCCCGAUCACUGGAAGGGCAACGCUAACAAGAGCGAGACGCGCGAUGAGCUGGCGCAGCUUUUCCAGUACAAAGCAGUCUUUAUUCUGGAGGAGCUGCUCAGUCCCAUCGUGACACCUUUCAUCCUCAUCUUCGUGCUCCGGAGCAAGUCUCUGGAGAUCAUCGACUUCCUGCGCAACUUUACCGUGGAGGUGGUGGGCGUCGGCGACAUAUGCUCCUUCGCGCAGAUGGACGUCCGUCGACACGGCAACCCGCAGUGGAUGUCCGAGGGUCAGACGGAGGCGUCGGUGUACCAGCAGGCAGAAAACGGCAAGACGGAGCUGUCGCUUGUUCACUUCACCCUGAAGAACCCUCGCUGGCAGCCGCCGCAGGACAGCUCGCUGUUCAUCAGCCAUAUGCGCGAGAAGGUGCAGCAGGACGCCGCGCAGGCCGGCCCGAACCCUCAGCUCCUGCUCUCCGAGGCGCCGCUCUGCACCUCACUGCUCUCCAAUGACUCCGCCACCGCUCAUGACACCCUUCUGGCGAGCGUUCUGGCUCAUCCGGUCCUCACGGCGUCCGGGAUGCCGGGCUGGAACCGUCGUUUUGUUCCCCCGAGCAGCACAGCCUCGAUCGCCGCUAGCGUCCUCGCCUCGCUCUCUUCCUCCCAACAGCCUCACGCCGGCCGCUCACGCUCUCAUGUCCUCCAGCCGUCCGUUCAUCAACACCACCAACACCAAGGACCCAUGUACCACAGCAGUGCCGGUGACAGCAUGUGUGCCAGCGAGUCGAGGAUGCACAGCCAGUCCAGUUCAGCCCUCCUCUCGGAGUUCGCCACGGCCGAGAUGAGCCUCCACGCCAUCUACAUGCACGAGGUGCAUCAGCAGAAGUUCCAGGGUCAGCGUGGACCUGCUCAAUUACAUCCUCAUGUGUCCUUAAGUGCUGUGCCCUUGCCUCAGAUGCACCCAGGUGGUCUGAUGGUGUCCUCCCCUCUCCGGUUGGGAGGCUGGGUGGAGGAAGAGGAGGAGGAAGAGGAGAUCGACAGCAGCUCUGGUCCACAGCAUUUGAGUCACACGAGCGGGGCGAGCAGCUGAAGUGCCUUAACGAUCUGAGGGUGUGUUAUCCGUCGUUAUAAUGUAAGGAAUAUAAACACUGAGGUCAGGGGUUGAAGUGUUUCGUUCCUCUUGCACCACUGUAAAUUUACCAUUGACGAUUUAUUAGGGAUUAUCUUUGAUAAUUACCAUUUAAUUACGCACCGUAAUUUACAGUUACAUUUAACGUUGUGACGAUUUAACAUUUGGGUAGCAGUUGUAACGACAGUUACAAGAAAAUCAAGAAAAUCGUUGGCUUUUUUUCGUGGAAAACCCACUCGAAUUGGCGCAGUCGCGAUCGGAGGAAAGAGUUUUACGCGGUCUUUCGCAGCAGUGUGAAGAAAUUGAACCAACACCUUGUGACCAAUCAGAAUUGAGAGUUUGACAGCGUUGCGUCUUUGCAUUCGUUUUCUGGAAGGACGCCGUGGCCUUAGUUUCAGUCGGAAGCUUCUCGAUCAAACGAGUCGGAUCACGGAGUCUUCGCUUCAGCCGUCUUCCGGUCUCGAGGAGCCGUGGUUCCUGGUAUUCUGGACCGACAGAUCAUACCGGCUACCUUCUCCUCUCGCUUAGAUGUUUCACUAGGAGACAUUUUUUUUCAAAAUUUAUUUUAAUUUGUUGAUGUGUGUGUGUGUGUGUGUAUGUGUGUUCAUUCUCAAGGUCAAGUGUUUUCAGCUGUAGGUUGGUUUCCGAAACAUCGCACGAGUUAUAGAAAAGGUUUGUUAGCGUGUGUUUUUUGCUUUUCUUUGAAGAUUAUGGCGUUUCGUCGGCGUAUUAUUUUGCACGUGGCGCCCAAACGACGGAGACGUCCGAACGUUUUCUACGAAAGAUUUACGAAUCGUUAGAGAGCACUGAACUAUCCUGAAUACUUUUUUUUACACAGGUGCUGAAACGUACACACGGUUCAUGUCCACUUUCAGAGCGACACUAAAGCUAUAAUCGGGGCAAAUCAUUUCAAUAAGGAAUAACACACUCACUGGUGUGCGGUCGUUAGGAAAAUAAUCAAAGACGGGGAGUUUUAUGCAUCUGCAAUAACGGCACGUCCUGAAGUGUUUGUUUUUCACCUCACGCUCCAGCGAGUAUCAUUUUAUUUAUCAGUAAAUGACACGGUGUCCGUUUAUAGUUGCGUUUAAAAGUUCGUUCCUCUUCUCACUUACUUUAUAACAGCGAGCAGUAGUUUCCUCACCCGCCUCUCUCUCUCUCUCUCUCUCGCAGCGAGUCGUUACCAAGAAACCGUCAAGACCGAUGUCCUGGAGUUCUGAAAACGGAGACUCCUUCCAAAAUAACACCUCAUUUAUUUCUUUUCAAAAUGGGAUUAUGUCGAGAAUCUACCAUGCACGUCUCGCGCACCUGAAAAUCCACUUAUGUAAAACGAAUCAACGCCACCUGACCAAACAGAAUGGAGAAUUCAACAGCGUUUAUAUUUAAUACUGAUUCAGUGAGACGUUAAGUACGUAUAAGUAUUUUAUUUUGGUUUUACAUUAUUAUAAAACUUUUAAAUGGUGCUGAUAUGACAGGAUGAGGAAAUGAUGUACGUUUUUUUUUUUUUUUUCUUUUUCUCUCUCUCUCUCUCAAUAUUAACGCCUAAUUAGCUAAGUGAUGAAUUAGCUAGCUUUUAAUCAAGCCUUAGACAAGCACGAUUCAUUUUCUUACCGCGCGCUCGGAUAAAUAAUGUAUCGCGGAGAGGCCAUUACGAAGACCGGAUCCUCUCUCGUCGCUGAUACGUGAAAAGUUUCCGGAGCCACAUUUAUUUCGACCUGAAAAAUAGUAUUGCUGUUAAGAACGAAGGGGAAAAAACAGCGCAUUUGCCUCUGAAAUGUUGUUGGUUUUUUUUUCUCUUUCUUUUCAGUUCACGUCAGGGCAAAUGCAUUAAUAUUCAACACAGCCUGAAAUACCUCUGCACAUUCACACUAGGUAAUGUACAGUAUUUAUUUUGGUGCGUAUAUUGUGUUACUACAGGGGGGAGAUCGGCGCGGGCGAGGCGAGGUGAGUCAGCUGAUCCGACACGCGUACGCUCGAGGCGUGACUGAACGCGUUUGCGAAAAAGAAUCGAUUGGUGAUUUUACGUGUUGUGUUAUCGUCAUGACCACUAUAAGCAGUCUUAAGUUAUGACUGUGCAAGGUGCUAUAUGUUUUGGUUGCUUUUUCAUAUUUAUCGGUUUGUUUUUUUUUGUUUUUGACUGAUCAGAACAACACUAUUUAAAAAUAAACCCAGUGUAAAAUGG